ensembl:misc_RNA 7SK 7SK RNA
GGAUGUGAGGGCGAUCUGGCUGCAACAGCUGUCACCCCCAUUGGUCACCAGGGUUGAUUCGGGUGAUCUGGCUGGCUGGGCAGGUGUCCCCUUCCUCCCUCACCGCUCCGCGUGUGUCCCUCCUGAGGCUGCGUACUCGUUCAAAGAGGAUGACCAUCCCAGAGAGAGGAGGACCGGUCUUCCGUCAAGGGUACACAAGUAGCGGCGCUCCCCCUGCUAGAACCUCCAAACAAACUCUCAAGGUGCAAAGUGCAUUUCAACUCAAAUACUCAAUGCAUUCUUUCAAUGUUAGUGAAUCACUUU